CCUACGGGUGGCAGCAGCAAGGAAUCUUCCGCAAUGGGGGCAACCCUGACGGAGCAACGCCGCGUGGGGGAUGAGGCGCUUCGGCGCGUAAACCCCUUUUCGGCGGGAAGAAGGCGGCCGCAAGGCCGCUUGACGGUACCGCCGGAAGAAGGACCGGCUAACUACGUGCCAGCAGCCGCGGUAAUACGUAGGGUCCGAGCGUUGUCCGGAGUUACUGGGCGUAAAGGGCGCGCAGGCGGCGGUGCUGGCCCGGCGUGAAAGCCCCCGGCUCAACCGGGGAGGGUCGUCGGGGACCGCACCGCUUGAGGGCGGUAGGGGCUGGUGGAAUGCCGGGUGUAGUGGUGAAAUGCGUAGAGAUCCGGCGGAACACCUGGGGCGAAGGCGGCCAGCUGGGCCGUCCCUGACGCUGAGGCGCGAAGGCGUGGGGAGCGAACGGGAUU
rnacentral:rRNA from 1 species